rnacentral:rRNA from 1 species
AUUGAACGCUGGCGGCAUGCCCUACACAUGCAAGUCGAACGGCAGCACGGGUGCUUGCACCUGGUGGCGAGUGGCGAACGGGUGAGUAAUACAUCGGAACGUACCUUAUCGUGGGGGAUAACGCAGCGAAAGCUGUGCUAAUACCGCAUACGCCCUGAGGGGGAAAGCGGGGGAUCGAAAGACCUCGCGCGAUUAGAGCGGCCGAUGCCUGAUUAGCUUGUUGGUGGGGUAAAAGCCCACCAAGGCGACGAUCAGUAGCUGGUCUGAGAGGACGAUCAGCCACACUGGGACUGAGACACGGCACAGACUCCGACGGGAGGCAGCAGUGGGGAAUUUUGGACAAUGGGGGCAACCCUGAUCCAGCAAUGCCGCGUGAGUGAAGAAGGCCUUCGGGUUGUAAAGCUCUUUUGUCAGGGAAGAAACACCGGCUCUAACACAGUCCGGGAAUGACGGUACCUGAAGAAUAAGCACCGGCUAACUACGUGCCAGCAGCCGCUGUAA